rnacentral:misc_RNA from 1 species
GUAGCCGGUUCCAGAUUUAUCUGGAACAAAACAGUCCAGUGGACUGUUUUGAGGCGGAGAAGGCCAUCGCACCAGUGCGAUGGCAGGAAUGGUUCCGCAAGCGCGACCGUUCUUGUCUCACCCAUCGGGGCCUUAGCUCAGCUGGGAGAGCGCCUGAUUUGCAUUCAGGAGGUCAUCGGUUCGAUCCCGAUAGGCUCCACCAGGUCCUGCCCAAGAGACGGGAGAGGGACCAGACGGGUUAGUAGCUCAGGUGGUUAGAGCGUACGCCUGAUAAGCGUAAGGUCGAUGGUUCGAGUCCAUCCUGACCCACCAUUACCGCAAUCCCUUCGGCACAAGAGACGACUUGAUCAUCGAGCACAGGGUUCUGUGUUGGAUCAUCCAGUCGGAUGGCGCGAGCAAUCGCGCAGCAUUGACAUCGUAUAGAGAGAAACAUCGGUAUCGUUUGGAGAAGGUCAGUGAGACUUUCUCCUGGUCGCAAGACCAAGAACGAUACUGUUCCAAGUCUAGUACACUAACCGCACCGCAAGCUGGAGCAAUCCGGAUGCGAUGCAUGGGAAAGUUACUGCUUUUGAUACUGGAUGGUUUGAAACUUGCAGCAAUGCAGGUU